UUUCCUUUCUCUUCUCGCUUCAUCUACAAAAAAAAUAUAAUAAAUAAAAUAAAAUAAAAAUUUACUUUUUUCUUGAAAUAGGGAGUCUGGAUAAUUAGUAAAACUACUCAGAACCUUACACCAAGUCCAGUAGCCCUUAAAGUCAUGAUGAGUAACUUCAAUCAUAAAUCCCUAUAUCUUAAGAAUUAUUGGUACCCGAUUGGUUCAGCUCAACUAACUAACAUU
rnacentral:lncRNA from 1 species